GUUGUGCAUCCAUUCCACCCGCAAACACCUCUCCUCGUUCCCCAUAUCUCAUAAUCAUCGGAUUUUCCCAGAAACAGUAAUCGCUGCCGCCGUGAAGAACCCAACUGUGGCCGGCCUUACUCGGAACUCUUAGAACACCACCUCGUCGCUGAGAACACCGCCGUGGACACUCCCUCCGCCGACCCACUGCUUUGUCCCUUCACUCGUCCUCCUGACCGUCGUCCUUGAGUCCUAGUGAGUUACUGAAGCUUAUCGUACUCCCGGUUCGAACGCUACCACGCUGUAUCACUAGGAAUGGGUCCGUGAAGAUUUCGGGUCCGCGGGUGCUCAUAGGCUGAGCUCUUAGAUGGAGUUCGUACCAGAUUUUUUAUCCCUAGAGUGGCGCCAAGAGUUGAAUUAGGUGUAAGAGCAAAUUUGAGCGUGGAUUGUGGGGGUAUGGCGGCCUACGCAAGUUCACCGGACUGAUUUCGUCGCCGUCCAUGAAUGGGGACCCGGUUGUCUGAAGGAGAAAGAAAGGGGGAUCUCUUUGUAAAUGUCAGUGACUAAGAAAACAGUGCCUUGGAUUAGCCUUCAGUUAUUCAAAUGCCCAGGGAGUUCUGUGAAAAAGGGCUCGCGCGGGCGUGGACGCGGGCGCGUUCCCCUGUUCGCAGGCUGACUCGGGCCAGAUUUGGCCCGUCACUAUUCAUUGUUUCUUCUUUUCUUUUUACUGCCAGCUUGGGAAGUUUGUAUAAAAUAGUAGAAAAUCGGUAAAA